UAUACUACCGUAAACAACUCGGAGUAUUGAGUAGUUCGAAACUUUCUCCUUCAUCCUCGCAAACCCUAGUGCCUCCAUUUUUCGUUCCCGCCGUUCUCCUUCAUCCUCCAUUCACUUUCUCCUUCAUCUCCAUCAUCUUUAAGGCCUCAAUAAACACCAUCUCCCAUUCCAUUAGCAUCUCCAUCUUCGCAACCUUCAAUGUCCCCAGUAAACGCCAGUUACGUGGAACCCUAACCUACAUCUGGUGAGUCCUAAGCACACUUUCAGUCAUGGAUAUGGAUGCAACAAGCAAUGCACCCUGAAUUGAAUUACAAUAGCAGUUUAAGAAAAAAAAUGGAAAGUAAUCUUUAAUAUUACAGUUGAAUUAUAGUUGUCCAGUUAGCAGUUUAAGAAAAAAAUGGUCCAAAUAAUGGUUGAAGACAGAUAAUACCAAUAAAAAGCAUGUCAAUAAAGAAAUGGUUUAAGGAAAGAAAGAUGAAGAGGAAAGAAGAACAGAGAUUGCACAGAGCAGAGGUGCAUGCAGCAAUGUCAAUUGCAAGUGUUGCAGCAACACUUUCUGCUAUUGCUUCUGAAAAUUCAAAAAAGGAGGAAUCAAUGAAGAUAGAGAUGCAACAAUAGCUUCUGCUUCUAUUUUGGUUGCUGUCCAGUGUGCAAUAGUAGCUGAAGCAAUGGGAGCUAAGAAAGAAGAUCUUACUAGUACAAUGUUAUUAGUUCUGCCAUGAGUGGUACAAGUGCAAGUGACAUCCUAACUCUCACUGUUGCAGCUGAACAUGUGAGUGUACAAGUCAGGGAUAAUGAAGAUCAUAGUGUUAUUGUGAGUAUUAAGAACCUGCUCAAACACUUCAAGAGAUGAAGUUCCAGUUUUCCACUGAUUUUAUCUGUUUACUUUGCUGCUGACCUAGUGCUACCACUGCAUUACACAACAUAUAGAGAUAGUUUUCCACUGAUUAUAAUUAUUUGGAUUUUUAUUAUUGAAUAAAAGAAAUAUUGUAUUUGGCAUUUUUUUUUGUAUUUGUAAUUGCUAUGUUUGUUUAUUUUAUUAUUUUGAAUGGUUUUUAUAUUAUGGGAUGUACUUUUAUUGGUGUGAAGGCAAACUAGUAAUGUGUACAAGAUUGUGAAGGCAAACUAGAAUAAGAUUGUAGUUUUAUUUGUAA